AGAGUUUGAUCCUGGCUCAGGACGAACGCUGGCGGCAUGCCUAAUACAUGCAAGUCGAGCGGACUUGAUGAGAAGCUUGCUUCUUUGAUAGUUAGCGGCGGACGGGUGAGUAACACGUAGGCAACCUGCCCUCAAGUUUGGGACAACUACCGGAAACGGUAGCUAAUACCGAAUAGUUGUUUUCUUCGCCUGAAGGAAACUGGAAAGACGGAGCAAUCUGUCACUUGGGGAUGGGCCUGCGGCGCAUUAGCUAGUUGGUGGGGUAACGGCUCACCAAGGCGACGAUGCGUAGCCGACCUGAGAGGGUGAUCGGCCACACUGGGACUGAGACACGGCCCAGACUCCUACGGGAGGCAGCAGUAGGGAAUCUUCCGCAAUGGGCGAAAGCCUGACGGAGCAAUGCCGCGUGAGUGAUGAAGGUUUUCGGAUCGUAAAGCUCUGUUGCCAGGGAAGAACGCUUGGGAGAGUAACUGCUCUCAAGGUGACGGU
rnacentral:rRNA from 1 species